GACAGAGGUGCCGAGCGUUAGGCGGAAUCACUGGGCUUAAAGCGUGUGUAGGCGGACCGUUAAGUGUCUUGUGAAAUCCCCCGGCUCAACCGGGGAACGGCUGGGCAUACUGGCGGUCUUGAGAGGCCUAGGGGCGAGCGGAACAGGCGGUGGAGCGGUGAAAUGCGUAGAUAUCGCCUGGAACGCCGACGGUGAAAACAGCUCGCUGGGGGCCUUCUGACGCUGAGACACGAAAGCCAGGGGAGCGAACGGG
rnacentral:rRNA from 1 species